rnacentral:lncRNA from 1 species
UUGUCCUGCUAAUGAAAUUUGAAACUAAAAAAAUGAUAAAGAUCUUGCAGAUCUAUGAAAACUUAUUUUUAAGGCGAAAUAGAUGGUCUAGAUAAUUUGUUACGUUAGGCACGAUUUUUUUAAGCUUGAAAUCCUAAAGUUUUUCCACAACUAUAAUGUUCAAGCCAGUAUGAAUGUAAAAGUUUUCUAAUUCUUAGAUUGCAAUUUCCAAUGAGUAAUGAGGUAAGCUUUUACUUAUUUUGAGAGAGAUACAACCGUAUCAAACCAUUUUCCUUUUGGAAAUCGCUAAAUCUCUCUCUUGUUUGAAUGAUAAAAAAUGAUAUUUCUCUUUAUAUACUACUUAUGAUUCCCGAUUGUCUUUUUAGGAGUUCAAUAAAAAAUAAUCCAUGAUCAACAAGGCAGAACUUUGGGCACUAAAAUUAGGAGUUGCCCGACUUGCCCCGGAACAUCUCAAAAUGAUCAUUGAAGGAGAUUCAACGAAUGUGAUGAAAUAGUGCAAUCGGCCAGACGACAUGCCCUAGAAUCUCAGUGGUACUAUGGAUGAAAUCAUUGUAGUUCUGGAGUCUCAUGAGGUGGUGUUCACUUAUGUUAAGAGAGGUUUUAACUCUGAUGCCGAUGUGUUAGCCAAACUGUCAACCUCCUUGUAGUUGUGCCCCGGCCUUUUCGCUAGUGUGCCGUUCUUCCUUCUUUCUUUUCUUUUUCAUUCUUUUUUGUUUUUUUCUCUUUCAUCAGUUUCCUUUUCUAUGUAAUCUUCGUUACUUUAAUGAAAUUCAC